rnacentral:rRNA from 1 species
UACGAAGGGGGCUAGCGUUGCUCGGAAUCACUGGGCGUAAAGGGUGCGCAGGCGGUCCUUUAAGUCAGGGGUGAAAGCCCAGAGCUCAACUCUGGAACUGCCUUUGAAACUAGAGGACUUGGGUACGGGAGAGGUGAGUGGAAUUCCGAGUGUAGAGGUGAAAUUCGUAGAUAUUCGGAAGAACACCAGUGGCGAAGGCGGCUCACUGGCCCGUUACCGACGCUCAGGCGCGACAGCGUGGGGAGCAAACAGG